UUACAUUUGAGUGAGUGGCGAACUGGUGAGUAACACGUGGGAAACCUGCCCAGAAGCGGGGGAUAACACCUGGAAACAGAUGCUAAUACCGCAUAACAACUUGGACCGCAUGGUCCGAGUUUGAAAGAUGGCUUCGGCUAUCACUUUUGGAUGGUCCCGCGGCGUAUUAGCUAGAUGGUGAGGUAACGGCUCACCAUGGCAAUGAUACGUAGCCGACCUGAGAGGGUAAUCGGCCACAUUGGGACUGAGACACGGCCCAAACUCCUACGGGAGGCAGCAGUAGGGAAUCUUCCACAAUGGACGAAAGUCUGAUGGAGCAACGCCGCGUGAGUGAAGAAGGGUUUCGGCUCGUAAAACU
rnacentral:rRNA from 2 species